rnacentral:rRNA from 1 species
UCUCUGGGACUGAGACACGGCCCAGACUCCUACGGGAGGCAGCAGUGGGGAAUAUUGCACAAUGGGCGCAAGCCUGAUGCAGCGACGCCGCGUGAGGGAUGACGGCCUUCGGGUUGUAAACCUCUUUCAGUAGGGAAGAAGCGAAAGUGACGGUACCUGCAGAAGAAGCGCCGGCUAACUACGUGCCAGCAGCCGGCGUAAUACGUAGGGCCCAAGCGUUAUCCGGAAUUAUUGGGCGUAAAGAGCUCGUAGGCGGUUUGUCGCGUCUGCUGUGAAACACGGGGGCUCACCUCCGGUUCUGCAGUGGGUACGGGCAGACUAGAGUGCAGUAGGGGAGACUGGAAUUCCUGGUGUAGCGGUGAAAUGCGCAGAUAUCAGGAGGAACACCGAUGGCGAAGGCAGGUCUCUGGGCUGUAACUGACGCUGAAAAAACAGGGAUGC